GAUUCUUCCAUGAAAUUGCCGCAACGCUUUGGCCGAACUGUCGAGAAGGAGAGGAGCAGACCUCGCAGGUCAUCCCCACUCUCCACCCACGCCGCGUGGGUGUACCCCGCCGAAGUUGUACUCCUCCACGUCUCGCAUGGCCGGAGUAGUAGCACCAGAGGAAAUCGGCAGGGAAGGAGCGCCUCUGACGGAGAUAUGCAGGCAGGUUAUUGGAUUUUGGUCGCCCUCUCUGCUCCGUCGGGAGGAUGUGUGCUAGCUGACCGUAUUAACCUGUUCAGAGACCGACUGAAAGAAGGUUCAGUUUACACCUUUGAAAUGUUCAUCGUCCCUAAUCGCACGGAGGUAAAAAAGUAACUGAUCAUCCUUAUAGAAUUAGGAUUACUCUGCUCACAAAGAUAGAGGAGAUUACUUCAGAGAGUUUCCAAAUAGGAAACAAUACACUCUUAUCAGACAUAUAUUAUUCCAUCAAGGACAUGUCAAGACUCAAGGAGAAAUAUUUACCUCAAAGAUGCAAGUGGUGAACAAGCUAUCGUCACCUUAUGGGGAGAACACGCAGAAGCUUUUGAUGCUGCCUUGCUGCACGAGUCAUCUUUUCAAGACAGUAUUGUUGUACUUUUUGUUGGCAUGGCCAUUGCCCAGUAUUUAGUGUGGAUACUAUCACAGGAAAGUUGGCCUUCAAGAGCACAUCCCAAACUCGCUGGCAUGUCAAUAUACCAAUUCCAGAAAUGUCAGACAUACAGAAAAGAUAAAGUUGGCAAGGUUAAGGAAAUACAAGAGCUGAGCCAACCGAGACAACGCUUUAUGAUCUGGCUAAGAAACCAAGAGAUGACAUUGUGGCCGCGCACCGUCUCAACCAUUGGCAAAAUAAUUAAUCCCUGACUGCACUUACCCGGUUCUAUUCCUAGCACUGAAGACAUUAAACAGAUCAAUGAGGUUGUGAAUGGCUUGCAUUAUUUUUUUGGCUUUUGCUAAAUCAGGAUCUAGAGUUAUAGAUCAUCUCCUUUCGAUAGGAGAUGAUGCAGCUCUAGGCACACUUCCUAAAAUGGUGAGAUUUAGUAAAAAGGUGGAACUUCAAAGCUCUCCUUUUUAUUGCUGUAUUUUCUUAAAGUAAAUCAUAAAAUAGAACAAGACACAACAAAACUGUUGUGCCCAAUGAGCACUAAAGAGCAGCCUUAACUUAAAGCCCCUCUAUUCCGUAUACGAAUUUUAGAUAUAACCUUACAGUGUGAAUUACAGAAUGUUGCCACAGUCUACUGCUUGACUCAAAUGUCUGAUGUGCUGUGUCUACUGACUUUUGAUGGACACAUGGAAUGGCCUGAUUUAGAAAGUUCAGCAUCAAUAUGAUUAUUCGGUAAGAUAAAUAUGUUUGAAUACAAAAGGUUGGAUUGGCUAAAAAAAUAGAAAAAAAUCUGUUUCUCACCAGAAUAUAUGCUUGAAUUGGUAAGUGUCCUAUGCAUAUCUCUUUCCUUCAUAAAUAUUCUUGCUACAGGUUUUGUGUGAAACCGUGUUGUUCUCUUGGUCUAUGAACCUGCCGUGUUAGGUGUUAUGUCUUGCUUUCUCUAACAAUGGUUCUACAGACAUAGUUUCAGGCAGAUAGCAUUAUUGAAGCAUGUUUUCGUACAAAAAGUUAAAGAAAUAAUCGAUGUGCUAUUUUCUUCUUAGUAUCUAAUUCUUCCAAUUUGCUUGCUUUCCGAUGACUAAUUUAGGGUUUGUUUCCUGCUUCUUUUUUUAAGAACAAACCAUGCUUUUACUUUUCUUUUGGUCAUAAGUUUAAGUACUGCUAUGGUAAUCUGUCAGAAUCUAUUUUCUUUGGGCAUUUCUACUGAAAUACAUAUUCUCAUAGCUAACCACAUAGCGGCAAUUGCAGGUCCAAGAUUCCAAGGACGUGUUCAGACACUUAGCCAAACUUAUUUGCAGCUGGUGGUGGUAAUUACUCGGUUCAGAAGCUGAAUACAAGACCUCGUGAGCUAAAGUCACUUGAUGCAUUUAGUUUAAAUAGAAGAGGAAGCAACGAGCAGAGGGCAUGCUGACCAGUAACCUGAUGCGCCGCUGCUCUCGUGACGGUCACCUCCGUCCCCAAUCUUCUGGUGCUUCGCAGCUCGCUGAUGCAUAACUGCUUUCCGCUGAGCAAAGGCUCCAGGGCGGACAAGAGUGCACAGACUAUGAUGUGCGCGUAUGGCAGAAGCAAGAGAAGGACAUGGAGCAGGCGACGAAUCGGCAGUAGAGUUCAUGGGAGCAUGAUAGGCUGCUCGCAGCUCGCCUGUGUCGAUAGGCUGAAUUGGGGAGCAGAGCUGGUGGGACUUGGGAGUAGUAGUAGAGAUGGCAAAAGGGAACCGGAUUAUCAGGGCGAGAAACGCUGGGAAUGCAUGCGCUGUCACUCUUGCCAUGCAUUUAGUCAACCAAUAUAGAAAUUUAAAUUUAUCUCUAGCAGUUAGUUGAUAAUGAUUAAUAUCACAAAAUUGGUUUCUCCUAAAAUUACACUAUCAAUUUGAUUGUAAGCUUUUCAACAAUUGAUAUUCAGAUAAUAUGCUUUCUUUUUUUCC